rnacentral:rRNA from 1 species
AUUGAACGCUGGCGGCAGGCUUAACACAUGCAAGUCGAGCGAGCGGCGGACGGGUGAGUAAUGUCUGGGAAACUGCCUGAUGGAGGGGGAUAACUACUGGAAACGGUAGCUAAUACCGCAUAACAUCAGAUGUGCCCAGAUGGGAUUAGCUAGGAGGUGGGGGAAUGGCUCACCUAGGCGACGACCCCUAGCUGGUCUGAGAGGAUGACCAGCCACACUGGAACUGAGACACGGUCCAGACUCCUACGUGAGUCAGCAGUGGGGAAUAUUGCACAAUGGGCGCAAGCCUGAUGCAGCCAUGCCGCGUGUGUGAAGAAGGCCUUCGGGUUGUAAAGUACUUUCAGCGAGGAGGCGUUACUCGCAGAAGAAGCACCGGCUAACUCCGUGCCAGCCGCCGCGGUAAUUC